UCUUAAAUUUAGUGUUUGUACAUAAAUUUCACGUAUAUUAAAAAAUUAUAUAUAAUAUUCAUAAUUUUUAUUUUUAUCUAAUAAAUAAAUUUCUUCGUGAAUCAAAAUUCACCGAAGUUAUUGGUAUUUCUAAAAAAAUUUGCCUCUUUUACUCCAUAGAUUCCACCAACCAGCAGAUCAUUGCAUUCCAUGCAACAUCUCUCUCCAGCAUUUCAUCAAACAUAUACAGAGCCGCCACCAAAGUCCAACCACCCACAUUACGAACUCAAAAUUGACAAGACUCUUCUCUACACGCACGUUGUUGAUCAAACCCGCAUUAAAAACGAAUUUUCCUCGCCCGUAUUAACAUCAUAUUAGAUCCCGGCAAGCCUCGAGCACGAGAGACAAACUAAAGAUUGCAUGUGGGAGCAUCUGGUGAGCAUUGAUUCGCCGUUUUGGAGCUUGUCUUGAUGUGGACAAUCCAAUUCCAGUGUUUUGAAUCGAGGGUUCGGCUUUGUUCAGGCAUAAUCAUGAUGUACAAAUUCAACGUCUAGCGUCCCAUUAACGUUGUUUAUCAGAAAAGAACUGGAAAUAUACCAUUGAGUAUGCUGAAUAUGCAAAGUCGGAUGCUCCAAAGUU